rnacentral:rRNA from 1 species
CAGUAGCCGCGGGAAUACGUAGGUGGCAAGCGUUGUCCGGAAUUAUUGGGCGUAAAGGGCUCGCAGGCGGUUUCUUAAGUCUGAUGUGAAAGCCCCCGGCUCAACCGGGGAGGGUCAUUGGAAACUGGGAAACUUGAGUGCAGAAGAGGAGAGUGGAAUUCCACGUGUAGCGGUGAAAUGCGUAGAGAUGUGGAGGAACACCAGUGGCGAAGGCGACUCUCUGGUCUGUAACUGACGCUGAGGAGCGAAAGCGUGGGGAGCGAACAGGAUUAGAUACCCCCGUAGUCCCUGUCUCUUAUAA